CGAGCUCGUUAUAAAGUUGCUCUCGUUAUAGUUUACUCUAGAAGGUAAAACGACCCUCUGGAUUUAAUUUCUUCGGUUGCAUUCGUAAAAAUACGCUCGGUCUGGCGAUAAGAUACGCGAUAAUGUACAAGCAAGUUU